GAUGAACGCUGGCGGCGUGCCUAAUACAUGCAAGUCGAGCGAACAGACGAGGAGCUUGCUCCUCUGACGUUAGCGGCGGACGGGUGAGUCACACGUGGAUAACCUCCCUAUCAGACUGGGAUCACUUCGGGAAACCGGCGCUAAUACCGGAUAAUAUAUUGAACCGCAUGGUUCAAUGGUGAAAGACGGCUUUUCUGUAUGUUAUAGAUGGAUUCGAGCCGCAUUAGCUAGUUGGUAAGGUAACGGCUUACCAAGGCAACGAUGCCUAGCCGACCUGAGAGGGGGAUCGGCCACACUGGAACUGAGACACGGUCCAGGCUCCGACGGGAGGCAGAAGUAGGGAAGCUUCCGCGAUGGGCGAAAGCCUGACGGAGCAACGCCGCGUGAGUGAUGAAGGGCUUCGGAUCGUAAAACGCUGUUAUUAGGGAAGAACAAAUGUGUAAGUAACUAUGCACGUCUUGACGGUACCUAUACAGAAAGCCACGGCUAACUACGU
rnacentral:rRNA from 1 species